rnacentral:tRNA from 1 species
ACCUAUAUAAUUUAAUAUAGAAUAAUGCAUUGAAGCUGCAUAAGAGGCAAGUGUCUGUAGGUA